rnacentral:rRNA from 1 species
GUUAUCGUUUAUUUGAUAGUACCUUACUACUUGGAUAACCGUGGUAAUUCUAGAGCUAAUACAUGCUAAAAACCCCAACUUCGGGAGGGGUGUAUUUAUUAGAUAAAAAACCCAAUGCCCUUCGGGGCUCUUUGGUGAUUCAUGAUAACUUAACGGAUCGCAUGGCCUUGCGCCGGCGACGGUUCAUUCAAAUUUCUGCCCUAUCAACUUUCGAUGGUAAGGUAUUGGCUUACCAUGGUUUCAACGGGUAACGGGGAAUUAGGGUUCGAUUCCGGAGAGGGAGCCUGAGAAACGGCUACCACAUCCAAGGAAGGCAGCAGGCGCGCAAAUUACCCAAUCCCGACGCGGGGAGGUAGUGACAAUAAAUACUGAUACAGGGCUCUUUUGGGUCUUGUAAUCGGAAUGAGUACAAUUUAAACCUCUUAACGAGGAACAAUUGGAGGGCAAGUCUGGUGCCAGCAGCCGCGGUAAUUCCAGCUCCAAUAGCGUAUAUUAAAGUUGUUGCAGUUAAAAAGCUCGUAGUUGAAUCUUGGGCCUGGCUGGCCGGUCCGCCUCACCGCGUGUACUGGUCUGGCCGGGCCUUUCCUUCUGGAGAACCUCAUGCCCUUCAUUGGGUGUGGCGGGGAACCAGGACUUUUACUUUGAAAAAAUUAGAGUGUUCAAAGCAGGCCUUUGCUCGAAUACGUUAGCAUGGAAUAAUAGAAUAGGACGCGCGGUCCUAUUUUGUUGGUUUCUAGGACCGCCGUAAUGAUUAAUAGGGAUAGUCGGGGGCAUCAGUAUUCAAUUGUCAGAGGUGAAAUUCUUGGAUUUAUUGAAGACUAACUACUGCGAAAGCAUUUGCCAAGGAUGUUUUCAUUAAUCAGUGAACGAAAGUUAGGGGAUCGAAGACGAUCAGAUACCGUCGUAGUCUUAACCGUAAACUAUGCCGACUAGGGAUCG